CUUUAUUUAAAUCAAUGUCGAAAUAGCUUGCCCUGUGCUCAAAUCCUAAAAUUAUUAAUCUUUUACAGCAUCUAAAGUUAGCUUUAAAAGCCUAUGUGUGACUUGAUUAAUGCAAGGUAUUUUUAAUGCUAACAACCAUAAAUAAAGCCAUUUAAAAUAAAUAAAAUCGGGGGUUGUCGAAUUUACUUUAAAUUCUCUGAUAAGAAAAAUAACAGCCAUAUACUUUAAGUUUAUAUAUACUACUUUUAGGUUUUUAGUAGCUAGGUUCUAUUCUAGUUUCUUAGUUUUUUUAUUAAUUUAAAUGCUAAAGAGAAAUUUAUUAUAUUGAACUAAGGUCUUUGUACUUUAGUUUGAUAUUAAUAAUCUUUUAAUCUGUGACAAAGUA
rnacentral:rRNA from 1 species